AUAAGGUCUCAAUAGAUGCCUGAUGGUCAGGUGCAUCCCCUAGCUCAGUACUGUCAUUUAACAGGUUGAAUGAUAGUGCCAUUGUGGCACUUUUCACAUGGAAAGAUCUUAGAAGUUUUUUCCUGGCACAAGCAGAACUGCUGCCACACAGAGGCCCAGACAACGACACUGCAUGAAUAAAUGUAUUUUUUUAGCUAGAGCCAUGAGGAAUCGUAUCCUGAUGGGUUUACCCAAACAGGCUGCUACCAAAUGUGAGGCUGGGGUUGGGCCACAGGAUUUGACUUGUGGUCACUCAUGUUCCUUGAUCCUCUACGCUCCUAUCCUGCCCAUUCUGGGGUGCUCAGCUCUCACCAUGGACCUGGGGACAUUAAAAGUCCCUUCCCUUUAUUAGUCAGACACCUGCAAAAACCUCUGGCAUCUAUUUCACUUAACAGCACAAUCAGUCAUGUUCCACGUAAACAUCAGCUCAUUUCAGCUCCUGUCUCCUACUCUGGGAGUUGGAGCUUUGAGAACCUGGGAAAAAAGAGGAUGAGGAGACUGUAAAAUUGUGGAGUCCUUGUUUAAGAUGAUCACUAGCUGGGUGGUGCUAGUGGGACCCUGAUAGGAUGGGUGGCCAGCAGACCCCCAGCUGAGUAGGCUUCUUUGUGUCAUUUUGC
rnacentral:lncRNA from 1 species